rnacentral:rRNA from 1 species
UGCGCAGGUGGGCUUGUAAGUCAGUGAUGAAACCUUGCCGCUUAACGGUAAAAUUGCCAUUGAUACUGCAAGUCUUGAGUAUGGUUGAGGUAGGUGGAAUGUGUUGUGUAGCGGUGAAAUGCAUAGAUAUGACACAGAACGCCGAUUGCGAAGGCAACUUACUAAGCCAUUACUGACGCUGAGGCACGAAAGCGUGGGGAGCGAACAGGAUUAGAUACCCUGGUAGUCC